rnacentral:rRNA from 1 species
GAUGAACGCUGGCGGCGUGCCUAAUACAUGCAAGUCGAGCGAACGGACGAGAAGCUUGCUUUUCUGAUGUUAGCGGCGGACGGGUGAGUAACACGUGGAUAACCUACCUAUAAGACUGGGAUAACUUCGGGAAACCGGAGCUAAUACCGGAUAAUAUUUUGAACCGCAUGGUUCAAAAGUGAAAGACGGUCUUGCUGUCACUUAUAGAUGGAUCCGCGCUGCAUUAGCUAGUUGGUAAGGUAACGGCUUACCAAGGCAACGAUGCAUAGCCGACCUGAGAGGGUGAUCGGCCACACUGGAACUGAGGCACGGUCCAGACUCCUACGGGAGGCAGCAGUAGGGAAUCUUCCGGAAUGGGCGAAAGCCUGACGGAGCAACGCCGCGUGAGUGAUGAAGGUCUUCGGAUCGUAAAACUCUGUUAUUAGGGAAGAACAUAUGUGUAAGUAACUGUGCACAUCUUGACGGUACCUAAUCAGAAAGCCACGGCUAACUACGUG